AGUGUCUUAUUUAUUGUGUUGGCAUGGUCUCCUAUCAUAGGGAUCCACAUCUUUUAAAAUUUAAAAAAAAAUGGUUGUUUGGGUCAUGAAGUGUUUGGCUUUAAUUUUUGCAGCAAGAGAGUCCUUGCGGCAAUAAAAACUGACAGACGGAGUAGAGGAAAAAGAGAAAAAAAAUGAUGCUUUUUAAUAAGAUGAUUAGAUGAUUGAUCAUAUCCUGAUUUUGAUAAAAUUUUAGUAUAUUAUUUUCAACAUUGAGAGAUGCAAAUUGAAUGAUUUUGAUUUUUGAAAAGCCUUCUCGAUAGAAUAUUUCAAGAUCCACACUUAAUGAUAUUUAUCCUCUAUCUUUUUUAUUUAUUGUUGAAAUCCACCUUAUUGGUGAUGAUUGUAAUUAUUGUGGAAACCA
rnacentral:lncRNA from 1 species